rnacentral:lncRNA from 12 species
AUGUCCCCAGAUCUGUGCUGUCCUAAUGUCCCCAGAUCUGUGCUGUCCCUGUCCCCAGAUCUGUGCUGUCCCUGUCCCCAGAUCUGUGCUGUCCCUGUCCCCAGAUCUGUGCUGUCCCUGUCCCCAGAUCUGUGCUGUCCCUGUCCCCAGAUCUGUGCUGUCCCUGUCCCCAGAUCUGUGCUGUCCCUGUCCCCAGAUCUGUGCUGUCCCUGUCCCCAGAUCUGUGCUGUCCCUGUCCCCAGAUCUGUGCUGUCCCUGUCCCCAGAUCUGUGCUGUCCCUGUCCCCAGAUCUGUGCUGUCCCUGUCCCCAGAUCUCUGAUGUCCCAAACCCCAGAACUCUGCAGUCCCAAUGUCCCAAUGCCCAGAUCUCUUCUAUCCCAAUCUCAGAUCUGUGCUGUCCCAAUGUCCCCAGAUCUCUGCAGUCCCAAUCCCAAAUCUCUGCUGUCCCAAUCCCCUGAUCUCUCCUGUCCCAAUGUCCCCAGAUCUCUGAUGUCCCAAUCCCAAAUCUCUCCUGUCCCAAGUCUCUCCUGUCCCAAUGUCCCCAGAUCUCUCCUGUCCCAAUCCCCCCAGAUGUCCCAGCUGGAGCCCCCCACUCCUCGCUGCUCUCUGAGCCAUCCUCAGCCCAAAAACUCCCCCAAUUUCGUGAACAGCCCCAUUAACCCCAAACCUGAGUUUACUGCACCUGCUGCAACUGUCCCCAUGCCAGGACAUUGUCCCCAUGCCAGGACAUUGUCCCCAUGCCAGGACACCAUCCCAAACCCUGUGUGGCUGUCCCCACACCCCAAAAUCUCAUUUAACACCCUGGGGAAAUCCUGCUGCUGCCCUUGAGUGGCCUCAAGCGAGCGAGGCAAACAAAGGUUAUGGUCCAGGUGGGAAUAGGAAUCUUUAUUUUCUUACUUUAUCUAAUCAAAGUUACAUUUUUAUCUUUACUGCCACUGGUGUUUACAUGUUUGUGCUACUUUUUUAACUGGCAAAUGCAAGGGGGGGGCCAUAAAUCCCAUAAAAUUCCACUGCAGCCGUUCCAGCUCUGCUUUUGCUCUCCCAAUUAACACCAAACUCAGUUCCUGCAGUUCAGAUGCCUCAGAAAUAUUUUUUUUUUUUAGCCAGGCCAGGCACAUUUAGCCCCCGUGUCUCCAGUUAAAUCCCAUUAGGGGACUCUCAGCUCACCAGGCUGCAGGUCUGGCAGGAGAUGUUUGCGAUGCCAGAAAUGCUCGGAAAAAAAGCCCAAAAAAGCCCAAAAUAAGCCCCCAAAAAAGCUAAAAAAAAAAAAAAAAAAAAAAAAAAGAAAAAAAAAUCUAAACCCCCCCCCCCCCCCCCCCCCCCCCCCCCCCCCCCCCCCCCCCCCCCCCCCCCCCCCCCCCCCCCCAAAAAAAAAAAAAAAAAAAAAAAAAAAAAAAAAAAAAAAAAAAAAAAAAAAAAAGCCCAAAAAAGCUCAAAAAAAAAGCCCAAAAAAAAUCCCUAAAAAAGCCCAAAAAAGAAAAAAAAAUAGCCAAAAAAUCCCUUAAGAAACCUAAAAAAGCCCAAAAAAAGCGCCCAAAAAUCCCUAUAAAAGCCCCAAAAAAGCCCUAAAAAAGCCCCCCCAAAAAGCCAAAAAAAUCCCUAAAAAAGCCCAAGAAAGAAAAAAAAAAAAGCCAAAAAAAUCCCUUAAUAAGCCCAAAAAAAGCCAAAAAAAUCCCCUAAAAAGCACCAAAGAAAGCCCUAAAAAGCCCAAAAAACGCCCCCCCAAAAAACCCCGCGUGAGUCCAGGCUGCUGUUUGUCCGUGUCAGGGUCAACGUGGUGGGGACAAAUUCCAGCCAGAAAAAAAAAAAAAAACCCCCCCCCCCCCCCCCCCCCCCCCCCCCCCCCCCCCCCCCCCCCCCCC